UACGUAGGUGGCAAGCGUUGUCCGGAUUUAUUGGGUUUAAAGGGUGCGUAGGCGGCCCUGUAAGUCAGUGCUGAAAUAUCCCGGCUUAACCGGGAGGGUGGCAUUGAUACUGCGGGGCUAGAGUACAGAUGAGGUAGGCGGAAUUGACGGUGUAGCGGUGAAAUGCUUAGAUAUCGUCAAGAACACCUAUAGCGAAGGCAGCUUACUAGGCUGUAACUGACGCUGAGGCACGAAAGCGUGGGGAGCAAACAGG
rnacentral:rRNA from 1 species